ACUGCGGAAGGAUCAUUACGAAAUUCGGCGCGCUUCGGCGCUGCCUUAUUCACCCACCCUUUGUCUACGUGUACCUCUAUAGCUUCCUCGGCGGGCUCGCCCGCCGCCAGGAACCCACGAAACCCCUUGCAUUAUACACGAAAACUUCUGAUAACAAACCUAAAUUAUUACAACUUUCAACAAUGGAUCUCUUGGUUCUGGCAUCGAUGAAGAACGCAGCGAAAUGCGAUAAGUAGUGUGAAUUGCAGAAUUCAGUGAAUCAUCGAAUCUUUGAACGCACAUUGCGGCCAUAGGUAUUCCUUUGGCCAUGCCUGUUCGAGCGUCAUUUACACCCUCAAGCCUAGCUUGGUGUUGGGCGUCUGUCCCGCCGAUUUCGCGCGCGGACUCGCCUCAAAGUCAUUGGCGGCGGUCGUGCCGGCUCCUCGCGCAGCACAUUUGCGCUUCUCGGAGGCCCGGCGGAUCCGCGCUCCAGCAAAGACCUUUCAUGACUUGACCUCGGAUCAGGUAGGGAUACCCGCUGAACUUAAGCAUUAA
rnacentral:rRNA from 1 species